UUCAAAGUCAUUGCCUUUAUAAAUAGGAAAGGAGUGCUCUAGCUAACACAAAUCAAAAGGUCAGUAAAAGAAAUUGACGAUAAGAGAGCUAUGUCAAAGUCACUGAUCCUGUUCAUGUUGAUUUCCAGUAUUACCCUCGAAAUGGUGGCCGCAGAGAGCUACUGUCAGGCGCAGCGUCGGGUAACAAGGAACGCAUGCGCAAUGGUGGCUUUCUUUCAAUCUCCAAGCAAUGAAUGUUGUCUUAGAAUAAGGAUGAUUCCUAUGCGGUGCGUUUGUCCUCUCAUAACACCACAGAUCGCAGCUCGCGUCACGGCCCGUAAACUCAAUUACGGUAUUGGGGUCAUCCGUCAAUGCGGCCGACCCGUAGCCAGCGGCACGAAGUGUGGAAGCCUUACGGCUCCAUGAGCUCUUUGGACGGUGAUGAGGAAUAUAUCAGUGUGCCCGAAGACAUUGGAUUAUGUUUACAAUGUGAAUGCUUUGAAUUGCUUAUGUAUUGAUGUUGUAGUCUUUUGCUAUUCUUGUUCUUGUUGAAUCCUUGUGCUGAUGUCUAAUAAACUAUCUAUCUAUCCAGUCUGAAUAAAUUAACUUCGUUAA